GAUGAACGCUGGCGGCGUGCUUAACACAUGCAAGUCGAACGAGAAGUGGAGACGGAAACCUUCGGGCGGAAGACUUUAUUUCGAGUGGCGGCCGGGUUAGUAACGCGUGGGCAACCUGCCUCAUUCAGGGGGAUAAGAGUUGGACACGACAGUUACUCCUGCAGAAUACCACAGCUCCGCAUGGUGCGGGGGUAAAAACUCCGCUGGCAUGGGAUGGACGCGCGUUCGGUUAGCUAGUUGGCAGGGUAUCGGCCCACCAACGGGACGAUGGAUAGCCGAUAUGGGAGGAUGACCGGCCACGUUGGGAAUGAGGCACGGCCCAAACUCGUACGGAGGGGAGGAGUAGGGAAUAUUGCGCGAUGGAGGAAACCGUAAUGCAGCGGCGCCGCGUAAGUGAGGCAGUAUGUCGGUAUGUGAAGCUCUAUCAGCAGGGAAGAAAGUGACGGUACCUGAGUAAGAAGCCCCGGCUAACUACGUG
rnacentral:rRNA from 1 species